rnacentral:tRNA from 1 species
UGGAAGGUGGCUCAGUGGUAGAGUACUUGCCUUGCAUGCAUGAGGCCCUGGGUUCGAUUCCUCAGCAUCACAU